UGUCCAGCGGACAGAUGGGAGCUUGCUCCCUGAUGUUAGCGGCGGACGGGUGAGUAACACGUGGGUAACCUGCCUGUAAGACUGGGAUAACUCCGGGAAACCGGGGCUAAUACCGGAUGGUUGUUUGAACCGCAUGGUUCAGACAUAAAAGGUGGCUUCGGCUACCACUUACAGAUGGACCCGCGGCGCAUUAGCUAGUUGGUGAGGUAACGGCUCACCAAGGCGACGAUGCGUAGCCGACCUGAGAGGGUGAUCGGCCACACUGGGACUGAGACACGGCCCAGACUCCUACGGGAGGCAGCAGUAGGGAAUCUUCCGCAAUGGACGAAAGUCUGACGGAGCAACGCCGCGUGAGUGAUGAAGGUUUUCGGAUCGUAAAGCUCUGUUGUUAGGGAAGAACAAGUGCCGUUCAAAUAGGGCGGCACCUUGACGGUACCUAACCAGAAAGCCACGGCUAACUACGUGCCAGCAGCCGCGGUAAUACGUAGGUGGCAAGCGUUGUCCGGAAUUAUUGGGCGUAAAGGGCUCGCAGGCGGUUUCUUAAGUCUGAUGUGAAAGCCCCCGGCUCAACCAGGGAGGGUCAUUGGAAACUGGGGAACUUGAGUGCAGAAGAGGAGAGUGGAAUUCCACGUGUAGCGGUGAAAUGCGUAGAGAUGUGGAGGAACACCAGUGGCGAAGGCGACUCUCUGGUCUGUAACUGACGCUGAGGAGCGAAAGCGUGGGGAGCGAACACGAUUACAUACCCUGGUAGUCCACGCCGUAAACGAUGAGUGCUAACUGUUAGGAGGUUUCCGCCCCUUACUGCUGCUGCUAUCGCAU
rnacentral:rRNA from 1 species